UCUUUCCCAAUCCACCCA
rnacentral:miRNA from 1 species